rnacentral:rRNA from 1 species
GUGAAAUUGUUGAAAGGGAAGCGCUUGCAACCAGACCUGCCUGCAGUUGCUCAUCCGGGCUUUUGCCCGGUGCACUCUUCUGCUGUCAGGCCAGCAUCGGUUCGGGCGGUCGGAUAAAGGCUUCGGGAAUGUAGCUCCUCUCGAGGAGUGUUAUAGCCCGUUGCGAAAUGCGGCCAGCCUGAACUGAGGUCCGCGCUUCGGCUAGGAUGCUGGCGUAAUGGUUGUAAGCGGCCCGUCUUGAAACACGGACCAAGGAGUCUAACAUCUGUGCGAGUGUUUGGGUGUCAAACCCGUACGCGUAAUGAAAGUGAACGGAGGCGGGAACCCCUCGGGGUGCACCGUCGACCGAUCCUGAUGUCUUCGGAUGGAUUUGAGUAAGAGCAUAGCUGUUGGGACCCGAAAGAUGGUGAACUAUGCCUGAAUAGGGUGAAGCCAGAGGAAACUCUGGUGGAGGCUCGCAGCGGUUCUGACGUGCAAAUCGAUCGUCAAAUUUGGGCAUAGGGGCGAAAGACUAAUCGAACUAUCUAGUAGCUGGUUCCUGCCGAAGUUUCCCUCAGGAUAGCAGUAACGUUUUCAGUUUUAUGAGGUAAAGCGAAUGAUUAGAGGCCUGGGGGUUGAAACAACCUUCACCUAUUCUCAAACUUUAAAUAUGUAAGAAGUCCUUGUUGCUUAGUUGAACGUGGACAUUUGAAUGUAUCGUUACUAGUGGGCCAUUUUUGGUAAGCAGAACUGGCGAUGCGGGAUGAACCGAACGCGGAGUUAAGGUGCCGGAAUGCACGCUCAUCAGACACCACAAAAG